rnacentral:rRNA from 1 species
ACUUGUGUUAGAACUAGUAACAAGAAAAAGACCCUCUCCAAAGUGCAACUAUAGCCACACCAACACCACUGACACCUAUGUUAUGACAAAUAGUAAUAACCUUACUAGAAAACUCUACUAACACUUACGUCAAACUUACACUAGAGCACUACCGGAAAGAUUAAAAAAGAGGGAAGGAACUCGGCAAACACCAACCCCGCCUGUUUACCAAAAACAUCGCCUCCCGUCUCCUAUGAGAGGUCCAGCCUGCCCAGUGGAUUUACUAAACGGCCGCGGUACCCUAACCGUGCUAAGGUAGCGCAAUCACUUGUCCCCUAAAUAGGGACUCGUAUGAACGGCACCACGAGGGUUGUUCUGUCUCCCCCCUUUAAUCAGUGAAACUGACCCCCCCGUGAAGAGGCGGGGAUAAGCAUAUAAGACGAGAAGACCCCAUGGAGCUUUAAAUUCACGCCACCUAUCCUCCAAACACCCUUAAAACCGGGUAGCCCUGGCCACUGUUUUAGGUUGGGGCGACCACGGAGUAAAACUCAACCUCCGAGACGAAUAUUUAAUUCAAGAGCAACAACUCAAAAAAUCAAAACUGACGUAAUUGACCCAAAAAAUCAUUUGAUCAACGAACCAAGUUACCCUGGGGAUAACAGCGCAAUCCAUUUCAAGAACCCCUAUCGACAAA